ACUCCUGCGGGAGGCAGCAGUGGGGAAUUUUGGACAAUGGGCGAAAGCCUGAUCCAGCAAUGCCGCGUGCAGGAUGAAGGCCUUCGGGUUGUAAACUGCUUUUGUACGGAACGAAAAAGCUCCUUCUAAUACAGGGGGCCCAUGACGGUACCGUAAGAAUAAGCACCGGCUAACUACGUGCCAGCAGCCGCGGUAAUACGUAGGGUGCGAGCGUUAAUCGGAAUUACUGGGCGUAAAGCGUGCGCAGGCGGUUAUGUAAGACAGAUGUGAAAUCCCCGGGCUCAACCUGGGAACUGCAUUUGUGACUGCAUGGCUAGAGUACGGUAGAGGGGGAUGGAAUUCCGCGUGUAGCAGUGAAAUGCGUAGAUAUGCGGAGGAACACCGAUGGCGAAGGCAAUCCCCUGGACCUGUACUGACGCUCAUGCACGAAAGCGUGGGGAGCAAACAGGAUUAGAUACCCGGGUAGUCCC
rnacentral:rRNA from 1 species